GAUGAACGCUGGCGGCGUGCCUAAUACAUGCAAGUCGAGCGAACAGACGAGGAGCUUGCUCCUCUGACGUUAGCGGCGGACGGGUGAGUAACACGUGGAUAACCUACCUAUAAGACUGGGAUAACUUCGGGAAACCGGAGCUAAUACCGGAUAAUAUAUUGAACCGCAUGGUUCAAUAGUGAAAGACGGCUUUGCUGUCACUUAUAGCUGGAUCCCGGCCGCAUUGGCUAGUUGGUAAGGUAACGGCUUACCAAGGCAACGAUGCGUAGCCGACCUGAGAGGGUGAUCGGCCACACGGGAACUGAAACACGGUCCAGAGGCCUACGGUAGGCAGCAGUAGGGAAUCUUCCGCAAUGGGCGAAAGCCUGACGGAGCAACGCCGCGUGAGUGAUGAAGGUCUUCGGUUCGUAAAACUCUGUUAUUAGUGAAGAACAAAUGUGUAAGUAACUAUGCACGUCUUGACGGUACCUAGUCAGAAAGCCACGGCUAACUACGUG
rnacentral:rRNA from 1 species